UACGGAGGGGGCUAGCGUUGUUCGGAAUUACUGGGCGUAAAGCGCACGUAGGCGGCUUUGUAAGUUAGAGGUGAAAGCCCAGAGCUCAACUCUGGAACUGCCUUUAAGACUGCAUCGCUUGAAUUGUGGAGAGGUAAGUGGAAUUCCGAGUGUAGAGGUGAAAUUCGUAGAUAUUCGGAAGAACACCAGUGGCGAAGGCGGCUCACUGGACUGGUAUUGACGCUGAGGUGCGAAAGCGUGGGGAGCAAACAGG
rnacentral:rRNA from 1 species